rnacentral:rRNA from 1 species
GAUGAACGCUAGCGAUAGGCUUAACACAUGCAAGUCGAGGGGCAGCAUGGUCUUAGCUUGCUAAGGCUGAUGGCGACCGGCGCACGGGUGCGUAACGCGUAUGCAACUUGCCUCACAGAGGGGGAUAACCCGUCGAAAGACGGACUAAUACCGCGUACACUCUAUGUUGGGCAUCCAAUGUAGAGGAAAUGAAAUUCGCUGUGAGAUAGGCAUGCGUCCCAUUAGCUAGUUGGUGAGGUAACGGCUCACCAAGGCGACGAUGGGUAGGGGAACUGAGAGGUUGAACCCCCACACUGGUACUGAGACACGGACCAGACUCCUACGGGAGGCAGCAGUGAGGAAGAUUGGUCAAUGGGCGAGAGCCUGAACCAGCCAAGUCGCGUGAAGGAUGACUGUCUUAUGGAUUGUAAACUUCUUUUAUACGGGAAUAGCAAGAGUCACGUGUGGCUCCCUGCAUGUACCGUAUGAAUAAGCAUCGGCUAACUCCGUG